AUUUAAAACACACAUUCUUGUCCUGAAACCUGAGCAAUCCAUCGGUAGAUACUCAAAAUUCUAGAUUUACACCCUAUUCUGUAUUCUUUUUGAGAGCUACUAGAGUGGAAUUAGUCAAUUGAGCUUCCUUUAUUCUUUGAAUAUGUUCGGAUUGAACAACUAGAUGGGCCAGGCAUAUGGCCCUUUUCAAGUCUUGAAGUUGUAUCGGUUGUGGAGCCUUUAUUACCCUGCAUUUAGAAACCAAUAUGUGAGCCAACAUACCUGCAUUUUUCCUGUUGAGCACGUCGGCUGCCACAUUACCCUUG
rnacentral:lncRNA from 1 species